UACGAAGGGGGCUAGCGUUGCUCGGAAUUACUGGGCGUAAAGGGCGCGUAGGCGGCACUGUUAGUCAGGCGUGAAAGUCCUGGGCUCAACCUGGGAACUGCGCUUGAUACGGCAGAGCUAGAGGAUGGAAGAGGGUCGCGGAAUUCCCAGUGUAGAGGUGAAAUUCGUAGAUAUUGGGAAGAACACCGGUGGCGAAGGCGGCGACCUGGUCCAUUACUGACGCUGAGAAGCGAAAGCAUGGGGAGCGAACAGG
rnacentral:rRNA from 1 species